rnacentral:rRNA from 1 species
AGGGUUCGAUUCUGGCUCAGGAUUAACGCUGGCGGCGUGCCUAACACAUGCAAGUCGAACGAAAUAUCUUCGGAUAUUUAGUGGCGAACGGGUGAGUAAUGUACAGGUAAUGUACCUUCGUACUGCGAAUAACAAGCUGAAAAGUUUGCUAAUACGGAAUAGUUUCAUUAGGGGGCAUCCUUUGAUGAAUAAAGAUUUAUCGUGCGGAGAUCAGCCUGUAUCCUAUUAGUUAGUUGGUGGGGUAAUGGCCUACCAAGACGACGAUGGGUAACUGGUCUGAGAGGAUGAGCAGUCACAUUGGAACUGAGAUACGGUCCAAACUCCUACGGGAGGCAGCAGUGAGGAAUUUUGCGCAAUGGGGGAAACCCUGACGCAGCAACGCCGCGUGAGUGAAGACGGCCUUCGGGUUGUAAAGCUCUGUCGUGUAUGACGAGUAGGGACGGUAAUACACAAGGAAGCCUCGGCUAACUACGUGCCAGCCGCCGC